UACGUAGGGGGCCAGCGUUGUCCGGAUUCAUUGGGCGUAAAGCGCGUGUAGGCGGCCUAGGUAGGUCCGAUGUGAAAUCUCGGGAGGCUCAACCGUCCAGCGGUCAUUGGAAACCAUCUGGCUAGAGUCCGGAAGAGGAGAGUGGGAAUUCCGUGGAUGUAGCGGUGAAAUGACGCAGAUAUCAGGAAGAACACCAAUGGCGAAGGCAGCUCUCCUGGGGACGGUACUGACGCUGAGACGCGAAAGCGU
rnacentral:rRNA from 1 species